rnacentral:rRNA from 1 species
UACAGAGGUCUCAAGCGUUGUUCGGAUUCAUUGGGCGUAAAGGGUGUGUAGGUGGCGCGCUAAGUCGGGUGUGAAAUUUCGGAGCUUAACUCCGAAACUGCAUUCGAUACUGGCGUGCUUGAGGACUGGAGAGGAGACUGGAAUUCCUGGUGUAGCGGUGAAAUGCGCAGAUAUCAGGAAGAACACCCGUGGCGAAGGCGGCUCUCUGGGACGGUACUGACGCUGAGACGCGAAAGCGUGGGGAGCGAACAGG